UACGUAGGGUGCAAGCGUUAAUCGGAAUUACUGGGCGUAAAGCGUGCGCAGGCGGUUUUGUAAGUUUGUCGUGAAAGCCCCGGGCUCAACCUGGGAAUUGCGAUGAAGACUGCAAGGCUUGAAUCUGGCAGAGGGGGGUAGAAUUCCACGUGUAGCAGUGAAAUGCGUAGAGAUGUGGAGGAACACCGAUGGCGAAGGCAGCCCCCUGGGUCAAGAUUGACGCUCAUGCACGAAAGCGUGGGGAGCAAACAGG
rnacentral:ncRNA from 3 species